GGGUGAACAGGAAAGAAGGGUUUGAAUGAAAGAGUCUGAGGCAGGAGAAAGUGGAGACAGCAGCAAGAGGACUGAGGAAAGAAAGGAGAAAGGAAGGAACCUGUGCAUCGCGAGGCAGAGGAUUUCAUAAAGUAAGAGAUUCAAGAUAAAAUGCUCAACACCCUCCAAGCCUCAGAGUCCAAGAGAGGAGUUGUAUUUUUCCCAGCGGGCACCUGAAGAAAUGGAUAUUAUUAUCCCCAUACUACAGAUGAGAAAAGUGAGACUUACUGAGAUGAAGCAGCCUGCACACUGUCACAUGAAGGAGUUGUAGAGACCUGUAUUAGUCCAUUUUCAUACUGCUAUAAUGAACUGCCUGAGAUGGGGGUAAUUUAUAAAGGAAAGAGGUUUAAUUGACUCACAGUUCAGCAUGGCUGGGGAGGCCUCAGGAAACUUACAAUCAUAGUGGAAGGUGAAGGAGAAGCAAGGCACCUUCUGGCAGGAAGGAAAUGUGCCGAGUGAAGGGGGAAAGAGCUCCUUGUAAGGCCAUCAGAUCUCGUGAGAACUCUAUCACGAGAACAGCAUGGGGGAAACCGCCCCGAUGAUUCAAUUACCUCCACCUGGCCUCUUCUUUGACACGUGGGGAUUAUGGGGAUUAUGAAGAUUACAAUUCAAGGUGAGAUUUGAUUUAUCAAGACCUAAACCUAGCUAGUCUGAUACCAGAACUGGUGUUCUUAACCCCUGAUACCAAGCAGGAGAGAGAGAGAGAGCAUUCAAUCUGACUUGGGGCCCUGCGUUUAAUUGUCUAUCCAUUUUCUUUGUCUCCUGUUUGAAAGUUUCCAUUCCCUGGGAUAUCAGAAGUCCUGUUAUCCAAGUCCUCUGCAGACAAAAAUUAAAUUGGUUGUCAGGUUUCCGGGGUUGGGGCACCAGCAGAACACAGGUUUUGGGGGAGAGAGGACAGCAUAAGGCAGGGAUGGAGAUGGAGGAGGGGUUUCCCAUUCAAGUAUGGCCACAGUGACAGGGGCUGAAGGGCGUGACGGUGUCAUGCACGUGCAGGGGACACAGUGCCAUCCCUUCUUCCUAGCCAUAUGUGCUGCUCUGUCUUUUUUAUAGUGCCACAUAUGGCACUUCCUUAAUGAAAUUUCUUAUAAUAAUUUAUCUGACCUGUAUCAUUCUGUUAGCUUUAACAAAAGAAAUUCUGACAGGUUUUGAUAUUAAAUCUAAAAAUAUGUUUUCAACUCACUGAGGAGCCAUAAAGCAGGCUGAAAUCAUACUAAUGAUAAUGGACAAUCUGCUUUCUACCAUCAAGUUCUGAUUAUUUACAUGUAGCAAACCAUCCAGAGAUAAUGUGAGCCUUGAGUCUCCUUUCAAUUUUUACUAAUCUUCCCGAAUUUACCAAAUGGGGGUAGUGGAGGCCUGAAAGAAGGCUCCCCAGGUCACCUUGGCAUGCCCUUCUUGAUGCCUCAGUGUGUCACAUGAAGCCAUCCCAGUGCAGCUGCUCAUGAAUCUCUGGGCUGACCCUCCUGCAGUGGGGCUGCAGGGCUGUUUCAGUUAAAAAGCUCAUGGUUCAGGAAAGGGAUUUGCAAUCUGAUUUUCACAGAUGUUUCUUUUCAGGCAUCUUCCCUGAAACAAUCCUUGUGGCGUUCAGAUGGGCAGAGUGAACAGCACUGCCCUUGAACAUGGGCAGCUCCGGUAGAGCUGUGCUCUGGCCCCCUUCGUGCUAUACCUCUUCCUGCAGGGCAUUCAGUCUGCAGGACUGAGGGACAACAUCCACUCAGAGCCCAUGCCCCUCUAGACUUCAGGUGCCUGGGACCCCAUAUUCCUGCCCAAACAGCCCUGAACCCAACUUCACUCCCAGGUCUCUUCCUGGGUCUGACUUCCUGAGAGUCCAUCCUGCUGACAGCCUGCACACUCCCUAGUUCUGAAGGGGUUUGGGAGGUUGCUGUCACAACAGCCUGUGGAUGAAGUUUGGACAUGUGGCCAGAGGGGUCUAUCUGCAUGUUAACAAGGUGCUUGCAGUGUGGGACAGAGCCAGGGGUGGCGGGAAGUGGGAUGCAGCCUCAGGCUCCAGGAUCCCCUCUCUCAUGGGUCACGCUCACUGAGGAACUCUGAGGGGUUCUGAAUUUCAACUUGGCCUUUCAGGUCAUUAUGAAGGUUCACUUGCCAAGGCAGGAGGAUGAAACAUAUAUUCCUCAGCAGUUUGUCAACUUGACUUACAUCUGUUACACAUUUAGACGUAUGUCACGUGGGCCUCCAUUUGUACUCUUGCUCCAGCCCAUGACAAUAUGAGGAUGGGCCUGAUAGGGUGGGGACCGAGCUUGUGGACCAAACAGAUGGAGUAUGGGGCAGGUGGACACAAGGCUUCUUCUUGUCCCACUCUCAAGGUGAUGGGUUCAUGCAUUUCAUUGAAGAAUAGGGGAAGAGGAGAACUUGGGUUCUCUCCUUGGAUUUGUUAUCAAGUGACUAAAUAUCUUGGGUAGUUCUUUUCAUGGUCUCAGUUUCCUGGUCGGUUAAAGAGAGAAGAGGUAGAUUAGCAUUUCCCAGGGCAUGUUCCUAGACAACUUGCUCUGCCAGACGACCUAUGAAACAAGGAUUCCAUGAUCAAUUAAAUUUAGGAAACAAAUUCUUUCUUCUUUGAGAAUCAUAAUGCAAAUUUGCAUAAUAAAGCCUCCCAUAAGUCCUGUAGCUAAAAAAAAUGAUUAAUUUUAAUUACCAUAGUUUCAUACACCAAAGAUUUAUUGAGUUCUUACUGUUUGCUAGGGACUAUGCUAUGUGUUUUACAUGUAAAUUUUAUUUAACUAUCACACCAGACCUAUCAUAUAGAUAUUGUUAGUAUUCCAUUUUACAGAUGUUGAAACCAGGGCUUGGAGAAGCUAGGAAACUUGCCCAGAGUCAGGAAUGAAGCUUGCUAUCUCUUUUGUCCAGUAUAGGUCAUUAAGCCAUCUUAUUUGUACUUUUUACCUUUGGUGGUUAUCACUACAAGCUCAGAAUGAUCUCCUAUGUACAUCCUAUUUAUUAGAAACUAUUCCUCAUUAUAAACAUUUUUCUAAACUGAAAAAAAGAUUUUGAAUAAUAUUAAAUAUACAAAUGACCAAAAAGCAUAUAAAAAUAUUCAAUGUCAUUAGUCAUCAGGGAAAUGCAAACUAAAACCACAGUACCAUUCCAUACCCACUAGGAUGGCUAUAAUCAAAGAGCCAGAAGGGUAAGCAUUGGUGAGGAUGUGGAGAAACUGGAGUCAUACACUGAAGGUGGGAAUGUGAAAUGGUGCAGUCACUUUGGAAAACAUCCUUGCAGUUCCUCAAAAAGUUAAACGGAGUUACUAUAUGAACCAGAAAUUUCAUCCUAGCUAUAUACACAAGAGAAAUGAAAAUACUGUGCCCAUAUAAAAACUUAUAUAUGAAUGUUUAUAGCAGCAUUAUUCAUAAUAGUCCAAAGGUAAAAAAACCCAAAUGUCCAUCAACUGAUGAAUAGAUAAAACAAAAGAUGAUAUGUCCAUACGAUGGAAUAUUAUUCAGCCAUAAAAAGGAAUGAAGUAGUGAUACAUGCUACAACAUGGGUGAGCCUUGAAAAUAUUAUGCUAAGUGGAGGAAGCCAGAUACAAAAGAACAUAUAUCAGAUUAUUCCAUUUAAAUGAAAGAUCCAGAAUAGGUAAAUCAAUAGAGGCUGAAGAUUAGUGGUUGUUUAGGGCUGAGGAGGACGGGUAGAUUGGGUGGGGAGUGAUAGCUAAUGAAUGUGGCAGUAGGGGGACUCUUUUUGUGGUAAUAAAACUGUUCUAAAAUUGAUUGGGGUGAUGAUUUUAUUAUUCUGUGAAUAUACUAAAAACCAUUGUUUUUUACAAUUUUAAUGGGUGAACUGUAUGGUAUGUGAAUUAUAUCUCAAUAAAGCUACACCCUUACCUCCCAAAA